UUUAUGGCUUUACUCAAAGCCACUAUAGUCAUUUUUAAAUUGAUUU
rfam:Cricetulus griseus cell line CHO-K1, whole genome shotgun sequence.